AUCUCAAUUGAAUAAUGAUGAUUGGUUUGAUCACAAUUGUUUGUGAAAUGUGCUGCCAUUUAAUUUGUUACAAUUCAGCACAUUAACCAUCUGAUU